CUGUACAGACAGAAUGGCGUGCUUCAAUGCGACAUGCUCAGGCAGGAAAACAGGAAAGGGAGUUCAAGGGUGUCCAACAUGAAAUACUCGCAGAGUUAGGGGAAACCCAGCGCUCAUGGCAGCACUCCAGUUUCUGGAGACAGGCCAGUGUUGAGGUUUUGUCAAGAGUGUGCAGGGAGAUUCAGACAGACAGGAGAGUGAAGCGUGUGUCAUGCAGGGCUGCUGCUGCUGCUGCGGCUCUUCUCCUCAGAGGCUGUGACCUAGAUAACCAAGAGGAGCUGGAGCGCCUGCAAGCCUUGGAGCCACUCCAGCUUCAGCAAUGUCAGGAAGGGGUUAGUUGUAUAACACAAUGUCCUAUUUAGUUUGCUACUCACACACGCAUGGAUGCAUACACAUAUGUAAGCAACGGUUCCCUGUACCAUCAUCGCUUGCUUCUUUACAGACUUGUUUGCCUGUUACCAAAGCCAUGGGUGGAAAGAAUGGGUUUAGCACAAGUGCGAGAGUGUAAAGGGGGGUAUACUGGGCCCUCAAUUCAUCAGAAUUUAACCAUAAGCAUUAAAAAAAAAAAAAAAAAAAAAGCCAGGUAAAACUUUCCACCUCAGCAGCCACCAAAGCUACAUUAUGUCACAUACACAUCUAGGGGCGCGCUCCUUCUGCUGUGCCUUAUUUUAGCAACCACUCGAAUCAUGCUUGUGGUUUGAGCGCAUCCAUGAGGAAAACAUGUACCACCAAUUAUCCUGUUAUUUACCGGUACACUGUCACAGUCACAUUCAGCACUGCACUGCCACUACCUGGGAAAUUAUAAGCACUAAUGUGUAAACAAACGCAAAACAAAAACUGCUACACAAAGCAAUGAGGUCACAGGUGGUGGAAGUUUUUAUUAAUUGUUAUUAUUGUUGUCAUUACAUCUUCAUAUUAAGCUUGAAGUUACACAAAUUCUACAGUAUAUCACCGUCACGUUGAGGAUCUAAAAUAUAGAUGGACCCUACUGUGCUGGAACAACUUCAAUAGGUUGCACUGUGAAUAGUUAAGUCUUCCAAAGUCUGAGCUACCUUUGAAAAUGCAGGAGCAACACUGCCAUCUGGUGGCUUUCAUAUUGUGCUGCAUUUUUUAUUUUAUUUUAUUUUUUAAAUAAACGUGUCUAUAUGUUUCACCUCUACAGCAUUUCACUGUGGCAGUGACAACUCAAAGACUAAUCUGUACUUACAAUGUUGUAUUUGUAAAGUAAACAUAUACACAAUUUUGUCUGUAAAUUUGGCACAGGCAACACAGAUUUGGAAAUUAAACAAAGGCCUCAAUGAUAUGUUAGACUUCGCUUCACUUAUCACAUCCUCAAAUAUUUUACACAAAUUAUUACAGAGUUUGUUCAGUCUUUCACUUCAGAUUUUAAGCAACACAAAUAGUAGUAAGCAGUUUAUACCGUCAGCGCUGGCUCUGCUGGGGCUUGAAGCAGUCCCAGCCAGACUUUGGAGUGUACGUGUGCUCGGGAAGAAGAAAGUAUUUGAGUCUGUCUGGUAGUGGUAAGGCUUUGACUCUGUCUUCCAGUGGCCAGGGCUUCAGGCGGUUCCUUAUAAACGCCCUACAGAGGCAUCGCAGAGCAGGGGGGCUUGCUUCACGCUCUGCUACGUGCUUGUGCAGGUUUAGUAGAGCCUGAGCGUACGGGUGAGACUCCUGACCAGGCAUGGGGAGCUGCAGCCCGCAAGAGAGAUGCAGCCUGGGGCUGUGAACCUUUACCAGGUCAAGCAACAUCUCUGCCUGCUCCAAGAGCUCGGCUGCGUGAGUUUGAUCAGAGCACUGCUGCAGGGCUGUUUGGAGCCUCUGGAAGAGAAGGCUAUAACCUGACCAACAGGAGUCACUGUGAUUGGAGCAAACCAAAGACGCGCCGCUCUGAAUUAAGAGCACAGCCAAGGGGAAGAGCAGGUCAAAGUACUCCAGGCUCGUCUGCGUCAGGGAAGGCUCGCCAUCCUCAUUCAGACAGCAGCUGGGGUCCACGCCGUGAGCCAGCAGUAGCUGUGUGGUUUUCAGGCAGAAGUUACCAAUCUGAGCAGCAUCCUCCACCGAAGCCCCCAGCGCCUCCUUCACCAGAAACACCAACGACGACUCGACUGUUUCACCGUCUACAGUCGCAGCAUGAACGUCAGCACCUUUGGAAAAGGAAGCAUCUCUCAGCACUUAUCCAGAUUACAACACAGGCUUAAAUUUGUAACACUUUUGAAACUGAGACAACUCAGUAUUUACUGGUUAAUUUAGGGGUUAUUUGAACAGUCUUAGUAGAGUACGUCCUGUUAUAUCUAUUUGCGUGUUUAAAAAAACAAAACAACCUAUUCUCAUUUUUAGGCUUAGGCUCCAAAAACUAAUCCCACAUCUAUUAUCAUGCAAAUUGCUAGCAUCAGAUACAGGCCCUCCCUGGUGUUCAGAACGGUUUCAGAUAACUUGAGAGUCAAACUAAAAACAUGAGCUGGCCUCUUUUGCUGUGUGUAUUUGCACAGUUUCUCUUGCUGUGCAAAUACCGUUUGGCUUUUGAUCUUUAUCCCUCCAUUAUUUCCAAAUACACUUUGCUCUUCCAGUGUUUAAUAAGUGACAGCAGGGCUUAUGUUAACCUUGUGCAGCCAAAAAACUGACAUCCUAAUUUAGAUCUUUUUCAUGUGACUCUUCCAAAGUAACGGUUGAUCUUUUAAAUUAGCAACAUUUUUAAUAAAGGCUGAAUACAUUCUUAAUUCAACUACAUGCAAAUAAAUAAAUCUACUCAGCAUGAUUCUGAUAAUAACAAUAAUCUAAUAAUAUAUUAUCAUCAUCAUCAUCAUAUUUUGAUGUAAAAUAAAAACCAAUGCGUGUCGAGUUUCCUAGUAACAUUUACUGUUUACACACAUUUUGAUAUGAAGGUUGUUUUAUGAUGACCCAGAGCUAUAUAGGAGACUGUGGUUAGAUAAAAGAUGAACAAUGACUGCAGGGCUGAACAGGCCAGGGUGGGAUACUGAGAUGUGGAGCAGCAGAGAAUGGUAGCUGAGUGAACAGAGUCCAGAGUGUGGAGAACUAAUCAAAUAAAAAGUGAAAUCUGGAGCAGAGCAGCUGAAACGUGUGGGUAUCAUGGCCUGGAGAGCAGAGCUGAUGAGGUGAAAGGCUGCAGAGUUGAGACGGAGCAGUGUGGACGAUGGAUGAGAGAGAGACCGCAGGACGGAUGCAAGAGGAGGCUGAGGUGGACGACUGGAGUCCUGCCCACGGAUCUGCCCCUUUCCCCUAUGACAGCUGCGAUUUAAACACACCGCAACUCUGAAUUGGACAAGUGGAAGAAAACGGACGGAUGCUUGGAUAAUGUUCUUCUUCUAUAGUCAAUUAUUUAGAUGUCAAAGGUAUUGUCGUAUUGUUGUAUCAUUUGUUUACUACAUUAUAUGUAUUUUAUCCUUACAAUCGUUUGAAGAGCUAAUAAACGUAAUCUUAAAUAAAUUUGUGAAAUGUUAUAAUUAGAAAAAUUAGAUGGAAAAUAACAAUUUCAACUUUUCAAGAAAUUACCGCUUUUCCAAUACUGAUAUUAUUGCAUAACAAAGAGACAUGAAAAGCACAGGCAGAGGCUUAACACUCUGUUUCACGUCAACACUUUGUAUGUUAGAACUUCGCUCUUCUCUGCAGCUGACUGAUGGACCAGUAACAUCACCAGCAAGAGUGGCUCACUGCAGGCAGAUGGACCGUGCCUGGACUGGAGCGGACAGACAAUUAGCUACCCCUGCUGGACCAUAAAAAAAAUCUUUAGUGUUGAUGUUGAUGACUACGCAUCCUGUAAUGCUGGAAAUCCCCAUUUGUCUUUGAGAAGUAGAAAACUAAAAUCCACUCUUGAAUUACACUUAAAGGAAAAAAAAACAAAAAACGCUAAACCAGAAUUGGCCACAGUGAAAAUGUCAGUAAUAGCUGGGGGCCACUUUUGAGCCCAAAUAAAAAAUACAAAACAUUGUCAUGCGCAGGGUUUUUUAUGUAAUGUAAAAUUCAUUGGUUUUCACAAAAAUGUCCAAGCCUUGUUUGGCCUUUUGAAGGACAAACUUAAGUGUUUAUUACACUUGUUUAACAAAAAACCUGAACCAGACGAGAUCAAAAAAGAAAAAAGUCCCAACCCUAUAGUCACUCUGCACAUGAAAAUACUUGUAAGUGUGAGAAGUUUAAUGAUAAAUUUAAGCUUCUGCCUACAGAAGAUGAAACCUUUUAUGGUUAAAAAAAAAGUCACUAGUCAGUCGCUUCAUGCUGGGAUCUCAGCACUAGCUCUGCUCCACUUUCAAUUUUCUGUUAAGAAUCAGAUCCAUGGUUUAUUCCAGGUUCAAAAUGAGCGCAGGUGGCAAAAAGCCUGUGUGCAGCAUUUUAGCUGUGAUGCCGCUUGAGGAAGAAUUUGAAUGACCAAAAGCAGAUGAGAAGGAAAAGUGCCUGGAGUGCGUUUUAGAGUCAGUACCUCUCUCAAGUAGC